UGAGACCUCCAAAAAUUGGAGGCCUAAAACACUUGCUUCGGUCGCUUCACUUUGAAGCCGGACCUGACAACAACCGUGCAGACCGUCCUAACCCACUAGUUGGCUAGUUUACAUAUCUUCUCAUUUCAAUUACCAUCUAUAUCUAUAUACUAUCUAUUUAUUGCUAUUUAUAUAUAAUAACAAAGGCAAAGACACCAUGUGUCAGCACCACAAACAAAGAAUAUUAAAAAUUAAGAAUCUAUAUAUAUACAUAAUAGGAGAGGCAAAAACAGCCACGUGUAAGCACCACAAAAAUCAGUAUUAAAUAAAAAUAAAUAAUUAAAAUAAAUAAAUAAUCUGUUUAAAAAUAAGAGUUCAGUUUUUUAAAAUAAAAAUUGUGAAUUUAAAAUCAACCAAUAACCGUUAUUUUACUAUGAGAAAACCUCUCUUCCGUUCUUUCACAAAAAAAAAAACGUCGCUUUAGUUCAUAAGCAAGACACUCCUUUGAUUUUCAAAAAAAAUGAAUUUUCUUUCCACAAUUUCUUUUUCGAUCACUGAAAAUUCAUUAGGUUUUUCCUAACAAAUUAAUUUUGUGGUCCAAUUUCUACUUUUUUAGCAAAGCAAAAUUUGAUUUCAUAUCAGAAGAGGAAGAUGGGUUUUAUGUCAAUCUGAUGGGAUUUUUAUGGACUAAAGUAGUGGCUAUAGAUACGAGUUGUGCACCAUGAAAAUUUGAGAAAUUGCUUUCCAGAAAACGUAUCUGCCAGGUUCAAUUUUGGUGAAGGGAAAUGUUGAAAGAAUUUCUCCAUCAUUCCUAUCUUGCCACAAACUUAUGAAACAUAAAUAGAUGUCUGAGUGGAUAAAAUUGAUGUUCAAUAUGAAUUUUUAAGAAAAUAUAUUUAAUUUUUUGUGGUUCAGCUUCUUUCAUGUUAUAAUAGUGUUUUGUUAGUAUAACUUUAUAAUGUUUUAGCAAAUAUUUAAGAUGAUCAGAACUUGAAGACAAGAUUCUUUCAAUUA